AUUGAACGCUGGCGGCAGGCCUAACACAUGCAAGUCGAACGAGUGGCGGACGGGUGAGUAAUGUCUGGGAAACUGACUGAUGGUGGGGGAUAACUACUGGAAACGGUAGCUAAUACCGCAUACCACCAGAUGUGACCGAAUGGGAUUAGCUGGGUGGAGGGGUAACGGCUCACCAAGGCGACGAUCCCUAGCUGUUCUGAGAGGAUGACCAGCCACACUGUAACUGAGACACGGUCCAGACUCCGACGCGAGGCAGCAGUGGGGAGUAGUGGACAAUGGGCGCAAGCCUGAUGCAGCCAUGCCGCGUGUAUUAAGAAGGCCUUCGGGUUUUAAAGUACUUUCAGCGGGGAGGCGUUACCCGCAGAAGAAGCACCGGCUAACUCCGUGCCAGCAGCCGCGGUAAUUC
rnacentral:rRNA from 1 species